rnacentral:lncRNA from 12 species
CGGGGACUUUGGAAGCCUACACCUCCCUGACGCAGGGAGGCAGACCUGAGACGUGAAAAGCAUGUCCCUCACAUUCCUACUUACCUGCUCUUUCUCCUGGACUCAGGAAGCAAAGGGAGUGGAGGAGCACAUACUGAGCAUAGGGUCCAGGUUUUCAUGUUGCAUUUGAUCAACUUUUAGAGGACGAUUAAAGUUUGUGCCCCCUUCAAAUUAGCUUUUGAUUCAAUUGUAUAGCAUAUUCAUAAAGUCAUACCAAAUUAAGACCAUGGAGCAAAAUCGACCCUUUGACAAUGUUUGCCGCCCCUCCAUACAUGCCAUCCUUCUCUGUUUGGACAACCACCUUGCUUAGUGUAUUUGCUGGUGGUAAGGUGGUAGGGUUCCUGAGGAAUAGGUUCGAUUAUGAUGUAGCUGUGUAAAGCAAAACCAGAUUUUACCUUGUGGAUUAUUUCCCCAGCUCACACAAGAGACAAGAAACAGCAGAGAAUGUGUGGGCCGGCUGUACUCUUUGGACGGGAACACAUUGGCAAAGGGAACAACAAUAGUUAGCAAUAUUAUGGUAUGCUCUGGCUUUACUAAUCUUUUUGUCAUUAGGAAACAUUAAAGGCAUUUAUUUCUCUCCGGAGAAAAUUUCAAGGUCCCUCUUUCUGUGUGUGCUCAGUUUUGACCACUGUGUUGUACCUCUUUUGAUUCUGUUUUGUUUCCAGCUUCAAACCCACAGGAUUCCCUUUGAAGAAAUCCAUCCUGGGAUGCAAAAAGAGUGGUUUAAGUCAGGAGUUGCACCCUCCAAAUCCUACAAGGACCGGGCAAACAGCAUAGUUGGAGACAAAUUCAAAGAAAUACUUUCCUAUUGUAAGAAAAAUGAUCACACAAAUGCCAUUGGCAAGUGGCAUUCUGCCUCACUGUGAUGGUAGUUCUAUGCUAACUGAAAAGCAUGUGUCUCAGAGAAGUCACUUCCCAGAUCCAACAACAUUGCAUAUGGCGACGUGGGGCCAAUGAUACCACAUCUGUCCAUUUCAAAGAACAUUGUAGAUUCUGGAAAUUUAUAUGAAACUUUUUUUUUGUUUAUAUAUCUUCUAUAUAGGACUGUAUGUUUUGAAAUACUGAGAGCCAAAUGAAAUAAAAAUACAGGCUACAUUUUUUUUUUUUUAAAC